rnacentral:rRNA from 1 species
UACAGAGGGUGCAAGCGUUGUUCGGAAUUAUUGGGCGUAAAGGGCGCGUAGGCGGUCACGCACGUCCGUUGUGAAAUCGCUCGGCUCAACUGGGCGGGGUCAGCGGAUACGGCGUAGGCUGGAGCAAGCUAGGGGGCAAUGGAAUUCUCGGUGUAGCGGUGAAAUGCGUAGAUAUCGAGAGGAACACCUGCGGCGAAGGCGGGUUGCUGGGCUGACACUGACGCUGAGGCGCGAAAGCUAGGGGAGCGAACGGG